rnacentral:rRNA from 1 species
GACGAACGCUGGCGGCGUGCCUAACACAUGCAAGUCGAACGAGGUCCAUCCUUCGGGAGAAGACCUAGUGGCGAACGGGUGAGUAACACGUGAGGAACCUGCCCUGAAGACCGGGAUAACCCUCCGAAAGGAGAGCUAAUACCGGAUACCCCCAUCGGAUCGCAUGAUCUGAUGAGGAAAUGGAUUCCGCUUCAGGAGGGCCUCGCGGCCUAUCAGCUAGUUGGUGGGGUAACGGCCCACCAAGGCAUCGACGGGUAGCUGGUCUGAGAGGACGAUCAGCCACACUGGGACUGAGACACGGCCCAGACUCCUACGGGAGGCAGCAGUGGGGAAUCUUGCGCAAUGGGCGAAAGCCUGACGCAGCAACGCCGCGUGGGGGAUGAAGGCUCUCGGGUUGUAAACCCCUUUCAGCAGGGACGAAUCAAGACGGUACCUGCAGAAGAAGCCCCGGCUAACUACGUGCCAGCCGCCGCCGUAACAC